rnacentral:rRNA from 1 species
UCUGGUUGAUCCUGCCAGUAGUCAUAUGCUUGUCUCAAAGAUUAAGCCAUGCAUGUCUAAGUAUAAAUAGUAUACAGUGAAACUGCGAAUGGCUCAUUAAAACAGUUAUAGUUUAUUUGAUAAUUGACAAUUACAUGGAUAACCGUGGUAAUUCUAGAGCUAAUACAUGCUUAGACGCCCGACUUUAUGGAAGGGUGGUAUUUAUUAGACUGAAGCCAAUAUUCCUUGUGUCUAUUGCGGUGAUUCAUAAUAACUGAUCGAAUCUCUUUUUGAGAUAAAUCAUUCAAGUUUCUGCCCUAUCAGCUUUCGAUGGUAGUGUAUUGGACUACCAUGGCAGUAACGGGUAACGAAGAAUUAGGGUUCGAUUUCGGAGAGGGAGCAUGAGAAACGGCUACCACAUCUAAGGAAGGCAGCAGGCGCGUAAAUUACCCAAUCCUGACUCAGGGAGGUAGUGACAAGAAAUAGCAAACCGGGAACCUCAUGGUUUCACGGUAUUGCAAUGAGAACAAUUUAAAACCCUUAGCGAGAAUCAAGUGGAGGACAAGUCUGGUGCCAGCACCCGCGGUAAUUCCAGCUCCACUAGCGUAUAUUAAAGUUGUUGCAGUUAAAAAGCUCGUAGUUGAACCUCUGUCUGGGGCUAGUUUUGGCUUUGGUCAGGCUAGUUCUAGGCAUCCGCCUACAAGACUUAGAGGGCAUUCAGUUGUUCACUAGGAGGAGUAGGCAUUUUACUUUGAAAAAAUUAGAGUGUUUAAGGCAGGCAAUCGCCCGCAUAUAUUAGCAUGGAAUAAUAGAAUAGGACACUUUUCCAUUUCGUUGGUUAUUGGAAUCGUGUAAUGAUUAAUAGGGACAGUUGUGGGCAUUUGUAUUUAAUUGUCAGAGGUGAAAUUCUUGGAUUUAUUAAAGACAAACUAACGCGAAAGCAUUUGCCAAGGAUGUUUUCAUUAAUCAAGAACGAAAGUUAGGGGAUCAAAGACGAUCAGAUACCGUCCUAGUCUUAACUAUAAACUAUUCCGACUCAAUGUUUGACUGGCUUAUAUAACCAGUUGAGCGUUGUAUGAGAAAUCAAAGUCUUUAGGUUCUGGGGGGAGUAUGGUUGCAAAGCUGAAACUUAAAGGAAUUGACGGAAGAGCACAACCAGGAGUGGAUUCUGCGGCUUAAUUUGACUCAACACGGGGAAACUUACCAGGUUAAAACAAUAGUGGGAUUGACAGUUUGAGAGCGUUUUCUUGAUUGGUUGGGUGGUGGUGCAUGGCCGUUCUUAGUUGGUGGAGUGA